AUUGAACGCUGGCGGCAGGCCUAACACAUGCAAGUCGAGCGGAUGAAGGGAGCUUGCUCCUGGAUUCAGCGGCGGACGGGUGAGUAAUGCCUAGGAAUCUGCCUGGUAGUGGGGGAUAACGUCCGGAAACGGGCGCUAAUACCGCAUACGUCCUGAGGGAGAAAGUGGGGGAUCUUCGGACCUCACGCUAUCAGAUGAGCCUAGGUCGGAUUAGCUAGUUGGUGGGGUAAAGGCCUACCAAGGCGACGAUCCGUAACUGGUCUGAGUGGAUGAUCAGUCACACUGGAGCUGGGACACGGUCCAGGCUCCUACGGGAGGCAGCAGUGGGGAAUAUUGGACAGUGGGCGAGAGCCUGAUCCAGCCAUGCCGCGUGUGUGGAGAAGGUCUUCGGAUUGUAAAGCACUUUAAGUUGGGAGGAAGGGCAGUAAGUUAAUACCUUGCUGUUGUGACGUUACCGACAGAAUAAGCACCGGCUAACUUCGUG
rnacentral:rRNA from 1 species